rnacentral:rRNA from 1 species
GAUGAACGCUGGCGGCGUGCCUAAUACAUGCAAGUCGAGCGAACGGACGAGAAGCUUGCUUCUCUGAUGUUAGCGGCGGGCGGGUGAGUAACACGUGGAUAACCUACCUAUAAGACUGGGAUAACUUCGGGAAACCGGAGCUAAUACCGGAUAAUAUUUUGAACCGCAUGGUUCAAAAGUGAAAGACGGUCUUGCUGUCACUUAUAGAUGGAUCCGCGCUGCAUUAGCUAGCUGGUAGGGUAACGGCCUACCAAGGCAACGAUGCAUAGCCGACCUGAGAGGGUGAUCGGCCACACUGGAACUGAGACACGGUCCAGACUCCUACGGGAGGCAGCAGUAGGGAAUCUUCCGCAAUGGGCGAAAGCCUGACGGAGCAACGCCGCGUGAGUGAUGAAGGUCUUCGGAUCGUAAAACUCUGUUAUUAGGGAAGAACAUAUGUGUAAGUAACUGUGCACAUCUUGACGGUACCUAAUCAGAAAGCCACGGCUAACUACGUGCCAGCAGCCGCGGUAAUACGUAGGUGGCAAGCGUUAUCCGGAAUUAUUGGGCGUAAAGCGCGCGUAGGCGGUUUUUUAAGUCUGAUGUGAAAGCCCACGGCUCAACCGUGGAGGGUCAUUGGAAACUGGAAAACUUGAGUGCAGAAGAGGAAAGUGGAAUUCCAUGUGUAGCGGUGAAAUGCGCAGAGAUAUGGAGGAACACCAGUGGCGAAGGCGACUCUCUGGUCUGUAACUGACGCUGAUGUGCGAAAGCGUGGGGAUCAAACAGG